rnacentral:lncRNA from 1 species
CCUGAGCAGCACAGCAGGGGUUCUCCCUACUCAGCCAGUUUGAAUCCAUUGUGGUGGGGAAGGGGAAGGGAGCCAGAGCGACAUGACAAGGGGUCUCCCUUCCAAUAUAGGUUUUGUUCGCAGAGUUCCUGGCCCUCUACUGCACAGAAUGGCAUCCUCCUUACACAGAAGCUCCAGAACAUAGCGAUUCCUGUGUAGCACAAAGAGAAGUCCUCCCUAAACAACAACACUUGUCCCUGAAGGGAGGAAAUGUUUAGGAAAAUAGCUGGGGUCCUCCACAGGGAAACCUUACAUGUACAUCAAGGAGUCUUCCUUACUAAUCCCGUUCUCACCUAUAAUUUGGGGGUCCAGAGGAUGACUGAACCUCAAAAUUCUCUCUCUCUGCCUCUCUCUCUCUUCUAUAUAGAUAUAUUUACAUAGGUAAUCCUCCUAGUCAAAAAGCUGACACUUAGCUUGAGGAAUGGGGAAACUGAGGCAGCCCAGUGGGGGUCUCCCUCCCAAGCUAGUUCUUAGCCAUUGUGGUAGGUGUGAGAAGGGAUCUGGAGGGACAAGAGUAGGGGUCUCCUUACCCACAUGGGCCUGAUUUGCAGAGGGAACAGUAGGGUCCUUUGGCUGCACAGCAGGGGGGCCUCCUCCAAAGACAGCUGCAGUGCAGGGGGAACGAAGUGAAGCAGCGCAGCAGGGGUCUCCCUCCCAAGCUACAUCUUAGCCAUUGUGGUAGGUAUGGGAAGGAAUCUGGAGGGACAAGAGCAGGGGUCUCGGUACUAACAUGCCUAAUUUUCAGAGGGUGCGGUGGCGUUCUUCAGCUGCACAGCAGUGGGUUCCCUUCCAAAGACAGCUCCAGGACGUGGUGAGCAUUUUGAUCUUAUCUUGGUGUACGGCGUUAAGUGUGGGUCCCUACCUAAUUUCUGCCAUACUAAUUUUCAGUCUUCCCAGCAGUUUUUGGCAAAUAAUGAAUUCUUAUCCCAAAAGUUGGGAUCUUUUGGUUUGUCAAACACUAGACUGUUAUAGUUGACUAUUCUGGCUUUUGAACCUGACCUGUUGCACUGAUCAAGUAAUCUAUUUCUUAGCCAAUACCAAAUGGUUUUGGUGACUGCUACUUUAUAAUAUAGUUUUAUAUCUGGCAGAGCUAGACCACCUUAAUUUGAUUUUUUUCAUUAGUUCCCUUGCAAUUCUUGACCUUUUGUUCUUCCAUAUAAAUUUGGUUGUUAUUUUUUCUAGAUCAUUAAAAUGUUUUCUUGGGAGUCGGAUUGGUUUAGCACUAAAUAAAUAGAUUAGUUUAGGGAGUAUCAUCAUCUUGAUUAUAUUCGCUCGGCCCAUCCAAGAGCACUUCAUAUUUUCCCAAUUAUUUAAGUCUGACUUUAUUUGUUUGGAAAGUUUUUGUCAUUUUGCUCAUAUAAUUCCUGACUUUCCUUUGGUAGAUGGAUUCCCAAGUAUUUUAUGCUGUUGACAGUUAUUCUGAACCGAAUUUCUCUUUCUAUCUCUUGCUGUUGGAUUUUGUUGGUGAUGUAUAAAAAUGCUGAGGAUUUAUGGGGGUUUAUUUUGUAUCCUGCAACUUUGCUAACUUUAUGAAUUAUUUCUAAUAACUUUUUAGUAGAAUCUCUGGGGUUCUCUACAUAUACCAUCAUGUCAUCUGCAAAGAGUGAUAAUUUGGUUUCCUCGUUGCCCACUGUAAUUUCGUUAAUCUCUAAGCCAUUUUGGUAGAUGUGAAAAGGGACCUCAAAAGACAAAACCAGGGGUCUCCUGACUAACACGGGGCUCAUUUUCAGAGGGUGCAGUGGCAGCCUUCAUCUGCACAGCAGGGGGUCCUCCUCCAAAGACAGCUCCAGGACAUGGGUCCAGAGCAUCACAGGCCAAAAUUUUCCCUAUAUUCAUCUUCAAAAGUCUCCCUCAGAUAAAUUGACUGGAAAACCUGGGAAACAUUCAAGAGAUCAGGUAAUUCUCUGGAGUCAAAGAAGCUAAUUGACAUUUGGCUUGACUAAGGG